UUCGGCAAUGGACGAAAGUCUGACCGAGCAACGCCGCGUGAGUGAAGAAGGUUUUCGGAUCGUAAAGCUCUGUUGUAAGUCAAGAACGUGUGUGAGAGUGGAAAGUUCACACAGUGACGGUAGCUUACCAGAAAGGGACGGCUAACUACGUGCCAGCAGCCGCGGUAAUACGUAGGUCCCGAGCGUUGUCCGGAUUUAUUGGGCGUAAAGGGAGCGCAGGCGGUCAGGAAAGUCUGGAGUAAAAGGCUAUGGCUCAACCAUAGUGUGCUCUGGAAACUGUCUGACUUGAGUGCAGAAGGGGAGAGUGGAAUUCCAUGUGUAGCGGUGAAAUGCGUAGAUAUAUGGAGGAACACCAGUGGCGAAAGCGGCUCUCUGGUCUGUCACUGACGCUGAGGCUCGAAAGCGUGGGUAGCGAACAGGAUUAGAUACCCUGGUAGUCCACGCCGUAAACGAUGAGUGCUAGGUGUUAGGCCCUUUCCGGGGCUUAGUGCCGGAGCUAACGCAAUAAGCACUCCGCCUGGGGAGUACGACCGCAAGGUUGAAACUCAAAGGAAUUGACGGGGGCCCGCACAAGCGGUGGAGCAUGUGGUUUAAUUCGAAGCA
rnacentral:rRNA from 1 species